rnacentral:rRNA from 1 species
UACAGAGGUCUCAAGCGUUGUUCGGAUUCAUUGGGCGUAAAGGGUGCGUAGGUGGCGCGGUAAGUCGGGUGUGAAAUUUCGGAGCUUAACUCCGAAACUGCAUUCGAUACUGCCGUGCUUGAGGACUGGAGAGGAGACUGGAAUUUACGGUGUAGCAGUGAAAUGCGUAGAGAUCGUAAGGAAGACUAGUGGCGAAGGCGGGUCUCUGGACAGUUCCUGACACUGAGGCACGAAGGCCAGGGGAGCAAACGGG